rnacentral:rRNA from 2 species
GACGAACGCUGGCGGCGUGCCUAAUACAUGCAAGUCGAACGAACUCUGGUAUUGAUUGGUGCUUGCAUCAUGAUUUACAUUUGAGUGAGUGGCGAACUGGUGAGUAACACGUGGGAAACCUGCCCAGAAGCGGGGGAUAACACCUGGAAACAGAUGCUAAUACCGCAUAACAACUUGGACCGCAUGGUCCGAGUUUGAAAGAUGGCUUCGGCUAUCACUUUUGGAUGGUCCCGCGGCGUAUUAGCUAGAUGGUGGGGUAACGGCUCACCAUGGCAAUGAUACGUAGCCGACCUGAGAGGGUAAUCGGCCACAUUGGGACUGAGACACGGCCCAAACUCCUACGGGAGGCAGCAGUAGGGAAUCUUCCACAAUGGACGAAAGUCUGAUGGAGCAACGCCGCGUGAGUGAAGAAGGGUUUCGGCUCGUAAAACUCUGUUGUUAAAGAAGAACAUAUCUGAGAGUAACUGUUCAGGUAUUGACGGUAUUUAACCAGAAAGCCACGGCUAACUACGUGCCAGCAGCCGCGGUAAUACGUAGGUGGCAAGCGUUGUCCGGAUUUAUUGGGCGUAAAGCGAGCGCAGGCGGUUUUUUAAGUCUGAUGUGAAAGCCUUCGGCUCAACCGAAGAAGUGCAUCGGAAACUGGGAAACUUGAGUGCAGAAGAGGACAGUGGAACUCCAUGUGUAGCGGUGAAAUGCGUAGAUAUAUGGAAGAACACCAGUGGCGAAGGCGGCUGUCUGGUCUGUAACUGACGCUGAGGCCCGAAAGUAUGGGUAGCAAACAGGAUUAGAUACCCUGGUAGUCCAUACCGUAAACGAUGAAUGCUAAGUGUUGGAGGGUUUCCGCCCUUCAGUGCUGCAGCUAACGCAUUAAGCAUUCCGCCUGGGGAGUACGGCCGCAAGGCUGAAACUCAAAGGAAUUGACGGGGGCCCGCACAAGCGGUGGAGCAUGUGGUUUAAUUCGAAGCUACGCGAAGAACCUUACCAGGUCUUGACCUACUAUGCAAAUCUAAGAGAUUAGACGUUCCCUUCGGGGACAUGGAUACAGGUGGUGCAUGGUUGUCGUCAGCUCGUGUCGUGAGAUGUUGGGUUAAGUCCCGCAACGAGCGCAACCCUUAUUAUCAGUUGCCAGCAUUAAGUUGGGCACUCUGGUGAGACUGCCGGUGACAAACCGGAGGAAGGUGGGGAUGACGUCAAAUCAUCAUGCCCCUUAUGACCUGGGCUACACACGUGCUACAAUGGAUGGUACAACGAGUUGCGAACUCGCGAGAGUAAGCUAAUCUCUUAAAGCCAUUCUCAGUUCGGAUUGUAGGCUGCAACUCGCCUACAUGAAGUCGGAAUCGCUAGUAAUCGCGGAUCAGCAUGCCGCGGUGAAUACGUUCCCGGGCCUUGUACACACCGCCCGUCACACCAUGAGAGUUUGUAACACCCAAAGUCGGUGGGGUAACCUUUUAGGAACCAGCCGCCUAAGGUGGGACAGAUGAUUAGGGUG